UGUCUGUCAAAAGCUAUUGCUUUUGUGUCUUUGUACAGCACUAGACUAGCAGAAGCGAGAGCACGAUAAGGAAGGAAGAAUGAGGAAGGAAGCAGAAGCACAAGUGGAACUGGCAAAAAAGAGAUGCAGAGAUGUGAUCUACCGAAUAGAGGGAUUGCCAGAUUCCACCAAGAUCACUGCUUCUUGCAGACGCACUCUUCUCAAAUUGGCCCACUCCGAACUCACUUUCCUCUCCCGCUGUUGCUCCUCCUCCUCCUCCUCCUCCUCCUCUACUUCCACUCCCCUCAACCUCAGUGUCAAUAUCGGGCACCUCGAGGCAGUUGUUCACCUUCUCCAGCAGCCUUUCAUCACUGGUGUUUCCCGCGUUUGCAAACCAAUUCCUUUGUCAACUUUAGCCCCACAUCCACAUGGGCAGAAAACCGACCCUUGUCUUAAAAAACUUGUCCACGUUGAUAUAGUUUGUACUCUCCAUAGGAACCCUGUCUGGAUUAUUGUAUCUGAUAGGAACCCAAAAUACAUUACUUGGAGUAGCAGCAGCUGCGGAUCCCCUUACAACAGGUAUAAGAGUAAGGGCUUAAAAUUGCGUAUUCAGCAAGUCACUGCUGCUGCCCGGUCAGCUGUGGCACUGAAACCUUCCUCAAUUAUUCUCUUCUUUUCAAACCAAAAUGGACUUAGCAGCAUUGUUUGUGAUAAACUCAAAGAUGAAUUUGGGGCCACUGAGUUUCAAUUGGAUUUUCCUGUUUUAGAUUUUAAUUUUGAUUUAUCCAAGGAAGCAGGUGAAUGGACUAAUGUACUUGUUGCGAGAACAUAUCAAGAGGCUUGUGCAUUCGAAAUAAAGGUUAUUGAUGCAAGGAACGCUGUUUUGAGUUCAGAAUCUGAUGUGAAGGAUUCAAGCCUGGGAGAGGCUGCUGAUACUGAGAAAGAUCCGUCCGUCUCAACAGAGCACACAGAAUUUUGCCAUGCUUUCUCUAAUCUUAUUUCAAGAAUGGAAUUCUACUCAUUGUAUCUAAAAAAUGGGGAAUCCGCUCAAGUCGGGAGUCUUCUGGGUCAAAGUGAACUUAUAAACUUUGAUACAACUGCCUUGAUUGCUCUUGUAUCAGGUAUUAGUAAUGGUGGCACUCCAAAACUUUUGGCUACUCCAGAAAGUGAAUUGAGGCAGCGGUUUAAGGGUAACUACGAGUUUGUGAUUGGACAGGUGGUGUCUGAAAUUCAGAAUCCAAUUCUUGUUGAACUUGGUCGCACAAUAUCUGGGAAGAGAGGCAUAAUCUGUGAAAGUGUUCGUUCAGAGUUCAAAGAGUUAGUAUUGAUGUGUGGAGGGCCCAAUGAGAAGUUGAGAGCUAGUCAGUUACUGAAUUGUCUUACGGUUGUUCCUGAUAGUCCUUCUGAACGCAUGAUGAACCUUCCAACCACUAGAAAACUGGCUUUGAAGAAUAAGGUUGUUUUUGGUACUGGUGAUUACUGGUGUGCUCCAACUGUAACGGCAAAUAUGGCAUUUGUGAGAGCAAUUUCACAAACUGGGAUGUCCUUGUUUACCAUUGAGCACAGACCUCGGGCUUUGACUGGUGAUUAGUUCUAUGUUGUCCUCAGAUUAAGAAGUGAAGCAUGCUCCCAUGGAUGGUGAUAUCAGGUCAUUGAGGGGUUUGAAGAUCUGCUUGAAUUUGGGGGGUGGCAUUUUUGUCAAACGGGACCUGCUGGAUCAGCUGAGACUUGAACUGAUCAGAACGCCUGGUGGUUUGUGGCGCCCUUAUUUUCGAGUCAUUUGGGUACAUCUAGGAGACAGUGUGUUCUCUGAUCCUUCUAGUUAUACAACUCAAAUUAUUGACGGACAUGCCACUGUCAUGUAAACCCUAUAAUAAUGCAGGUUUGUAAAGCAGUUUUUAUAAGAUGUUUCUUUAGCCA